UACGUAGGUGGCGAGCGUUGUCCGGAAUUAUUGGGCGUAAAGCGCGCGUAGGCGGGAUAGUCAGUCUGUUGUAAAAGCGCGGGGCUCAACCCCGUAAGGGCAAUUGAUACUGCUAUUCUUGAGUGCAGGAGAGGAGAGUGGAAUUCCCAGUGUAGCGGUGAAAUUCGUAGAUAUUGGGAGGAACACCAGUGGCGAAGGCGGCUUUCUGGACUGUUUCUGACGCUGAGGCGCGAAAGCCAGGGGAGCAAACAGG
rnacentral:rRNA from 1 species